GAAUAUUGCACAAUGGGCGCAAGCCUGAUGCAGCGACGCCGCGUGAGGGAUGACGGCCUUCGGGUUGUAAACCUCUUUCAGCACAGACGAAGCGCAAGUGACGGUAUGUGCAGAAGAAGGACCGGCCAACUACGUGCCAGCAGCCGCGGUAAUACGUAGGGUCCGAGCGUUGUCCGGAAUUACUGGGCGUAAAGAGCUCGUAGGUGGUUUGUCGCGUUGUUCGUGAAAACUCACAACUCAAUUGUGGGCGUGCGGGCGAUACGGGCAGACUUGAGUACUGCAGGGGAGACUGGAAUUCCUGGUGUAGCGGUGGAAUGCGCAGAUAUCAGGAGGAACACCGGUGGCGAAGGCGGGUCUCUGGCAGUAACUGACGCUGAGGAGCGAAAGCGUGGGGAGCGAACAGG
rnacentral:rRNA from 1 species